rnacentral:lncRNA from 1 species
GCCACAGGUUGGAGAGAUGCGAGUCCUCCGUGGCCGCCGGCAGUAAAGCCCCUGCAAUUUGGCAUACUUUUGUCUUGGUGUUGACUUUCUAUGCUCUGGCCAGUACAAAAUUUUGGAGGUCCCACCAAGAUUUAUCUUCGUCCAUCACCCCGAAAAAGCCAUCUCAGAGUCUCUCCCAGGUGGCCACUCCCACCCGGGAACCUCUAGGGGAGGCACCCCUUGAGAUGUUCCAGGGCCCCAGAGUUCCGGCCCUGUGGAGGAUGAGCGACUACCCGGUCGACACUCACCCGAAAUUCCUCAGGGUCCUGGGAACCUCCGGAGGUAAGUCAGGUCUGGAAAUCAGGGGACUGGUCUGUCAGAGGGGCCUGAGUCCAGGGACCGGACGCAGUCAUUGCAACCCUGACAAGGCAAGCCUACCGUGAGAUGUCACUGGAGGCUCGGGUUGCCUCAAUGGAGGCUCAGGUUGCCUCACCAGAAGCUCAGGUUGCCUCAAUGGAGACUCAGGUAAUUUAGUUUUCAGUUGUUUUCCAUAACCUUGGUGUUAGUGAGAGAGUGAGUGUGUAUAUAUGUAGUCCCAAGGCUGGAAGGCUACAGGGCUUAUAUGGGCCUUCACCCACAGUUCCACGGUGACAUCAUAAGGCAUAACAGUGAUUUAUCUCAGGACUGAAAAUUCUGAGGUGACCAGGCCUGGGGUUUAUACGUGUACACCUUAGUCAAGAUGGUCUGAAACAUCCCUCCAGGGACGUGGCCGGACCCGCAUGAAGAUUUUAAAGGCUACAGUUUUAAACCCAGCCAUGCUGCUACCUGAUAGCCAGCCAGAGAAUCCCAUACAUGAUUGCCAGCAAAUAAUGGACGUCAUCCACACCGCUUGACUGGACUUCACUGAUAUUCCCCUACAGAAUCCGGAGGAGGUACUGUAUACUGAUGGCAGCAGCUUCAUGGUCGAUGGAGUCAGAUUGGCUACUGUUUUACAACCCUGAGUCACUGAGCCUCCACCUCGAAGGGCCAAAGGCGGGAAAAGUUUCUGCUUCCCAAACAAAGUUCCGAGGAGCCAGAGACUGGAAACCUGAGACAAAGUCCAGAGACGAGAAACCUGAGACAAAGUCCAUAAGAGCCAGAGGCAGGAAAAGCGGAGACAAAGCCUCUAGCUGGCCAGAGGCGGGAGAAUUCCUACGUUUGAAACAAAGCCCCCGCCCACCCGGGGAAGUCCCUCUAACACAGUCGCUCACAAAGGAGAAAUCCGAGGAUAUGGAGCUGUGUCUGAUGGGCUUGUCCUAUUAUUACUAGCUAUAUGGCUGGGCAUGGUGGCUCACGCCUGUAAUCCAAGCGCUUUGGAGACCAAGGAGGGCGGAUCACCUGAGGUUGUGAGUUCAAGACCAGCCUGACCAACAUGGUGAAACCCCGUCUUUAAAAAAGAAGAAACAAACAAAAAUAAAAAUAAAGCUAUCAAAAUAAACAGCUCUGUUCUAUCUCAUAUGCACUUAAAAAGAAAAAAAGCUUUCCUCUGUUUUCCUAGAGCUAGUCAGUUAUUUUGUAGUACUCCUUUCCUCACUUUCCUUUUCUGUCGAUUACAGUGUCCUCCAUCCCAGCACAUAUAUGAAUCUAGCAUAGAUCCACUAAUCAAGUGGAAAAUCCUGUCUUUUAUCUUGUUAGAUUUCUUUAUGCCUUUUGAUAAUGGUCAAUCGUUUUCUCUUUGUUGAAACACAAAGCUUAUAGUUACAUGAUUCUACUCUCUUAUUAUUCUGCCCUGGUUUACUUUGUAGCUCUUUGUGUC